rnacentral:rRNA from 1 species
CCUACGGGUGGCAGCAGUGGGGAAUAUUGCACAAUGGGGGAAACCCUGAUGCAGCGACGCCGCGUGAGUGAAGAAGGAAUUCGUUAUGUAAAGCUCUAUCAGCAGGGAAGAAAAUGACGGUACCUGAGUAAGAAGCCCCGGCUAACUACGUGCCAGCAGCGGCGGUAAUACGUCGGGGGCAAGCGUUAUCCGGAUUUACUGGGUGUAAAGGGAGCGUAGACGGAGAAGCAAGAUAGUUGUGAAAUCCCUCGGCUUAACUGAGGAACUGCAACUAAAACUACUUCCCUUGAGUACUGGGGAGGAAAGUGGAAUUCGUGGUGUAGCGGUGAAAUGCGUAGAUAUUAGGAGGAACACCAGUGGCGAAGGCGGCUUUCUGGACAGUAACUGACGUUGAGGCACGAAGGUGUGGGGAGCGAACAGGAUUAGAUACCCGUGUAGUC